rnacentral:rRNA from 1 species
GGCUCAGAACGAACGCUGGCGGCGUGCUUAACACAUGCAAGUCGAACGAACCUUCGGGUUAGUGGCGGACGGGUGAGUAACGCGUGAGAAUCUGCCCUCAGGAGGGGGAUAACGGUUGGAAACGACCGCUAAUACCCCAUAUGCCGAGAGGUGAAAAGAAAUUCGUCUGAGGAUGAGCUCGCGUCUGAUUAGCUAGUUGGUGUGGUAAUGGCGCAGGAAGGCUUCGAUCAGUAGCUGGUCUGAGAGGAUGAUCAGCCAC